AGUCGAUUUUCAAAGUUAACGUCAUUUAUACAUAUAUGAUAUACGAAAUAAGAAUUUAAUAUCUACUUACCAAAGGAGGUUAUGUAUAAUAGAGAUGCUUGAAAUUUUACACAGUAGAAUUCUUUCAUAAAUGUAAACUUCCUUCAAAUCCGCGUAGUGGCAUUUAGGGUAUAGCGAAUAUUUGACUCGACUAAAUUAGAGAUUGUACAACACAGCACAAAUUUCAUUUAGGCGGAUAGCAACGAAAUUUUCAUCCAUACCUAUCGCACUAGCACGAAACCAUUCGACGAGGCUUUCAUUUCCCCCCUCGCCAUUCCACAACACCUAGUUCUGUUUCGUGUUUAUCUAAUUGUGCUAUUGUACACACCUACCUACCGUGCUGACUAGCGUAGUGUCGAGCGACUUCUGAACUGCGUUUUACAUUACUUCCGGCGCUAGUGGCGUGCGUAACGACUAAAGCUGUUUGGAAACAUUCGCGUCGCGUAAGGCGUAAGAAACGAAUAUGAAUUUUCUGUAUCGAGUUAUGAUUUGUACAAUGUUAUAGUGUCUAUUUUAAGUUUCAGAAUCAACUAAAGCGUAUUUUUAUUGCAGAAACAAAUAAAUAAAUAUGUGUUCGCCAGAAUCAUAUCAGAUUACACAUCCAUUGUAACCAUAACGUCGAAUCAAAGCGAAAUUCCGUGUUAGGACUUUAUUUUUACGAUAACCACAGUUCAGAUAAAUUAAGAGUGAUAUCAGCUCUAACACCUGGAAACGAGACGAAACAGGAGGCAAGUAGCGAGAAGUAAUUUCCCGAAACAUUCGCGGAACACUCGAUCGUUCGGUGCGUCAGGUAAGCGCGCAUUAGCAUAAUCGAGCGUAGGGAAUAGCGGACGAGCAUUAUUACGCGAGCUCCUCUUUAUUUCGGUAUACGGUGGACAAAUGCGACUAACGUA